CAGAGAUCCCAAUCCACUUUCUGGCGCCUUCAGAGAGCCUAUGGAAGCCUUAGAAAUUGUCACGUUACAGCAGAGAUACUGUAUUUUCGAUAGAGAUAACCUAGAAGGACAAGAAAUGGUCAGACAGGGCACUUCCUGUAUGGAAUCUUCUCAGGUUUUGGCCUGCCAUAUGAGUUCUGUUAUACUCACAGACACCAUUCAAACAGUUUUAGAGUCUUUUCUAUCCACAUAUACUAAUUAUAUGCAUAUUCUAGUUUCUGGGCCUGAGUAGUAACCAGAUUAAAUCGGGUACGUUAUUUUCACCCGGUCGUGAAAAUAGUGCCCCCUAUCCAUAAGAAGAUAUACUACCCACCACUGCGACCUGUGCGCUCUCGUUGGCUGGCCCUCGCUUCAUACUCGUUGCCAAACCCACUGGCUCCAGGUCAUCUACAAGACCCAGCUAGGUAAAGUCCCCCCUUAUCUCCGCUCACUGGUCCCCAUAGCAGCACCCACCUGUAGCACGCGCUCCAGCAGGUAUAUCUCUCUGGUCACCCUCAAAGCCAAUUUCUCCUUUGGCCGUCUCUCCUUCCAGUUCUCUGCUGCCAAUGACUGGAACGAACUACAAAAAUCUCUGAAACUGGAAACACUUAUCUCCCUCACUAGCUUUAAGCACCAGCUGUCAGAGCAGCUCACAGAUCACUGCACCUGUACAUAGCCCAUCUAUAAUUUAGCCCAUACAACUACCCCUUCCCCAACUGUAUUUAUUUAUUUUGCUCCUUUGCACCCCAUUAUUUAUAUUUUGCACUUUCUUCCACUACAAAUCUACCAUUCCAGUGUUUUACUUGCUAUAUUGUAUUUACUUUGCCACCAUGGCCUUUUUUGCCUUUACCUCCCUUAUCUCACCUCAUUUGCUCACAUUGUAUAUAGACUUAUUUUUCUACUGUAUUAUUGACUGUAUGUUUGUUUUACUGCAUGUGUAACUCUGUGUUGUUGUAUGUGUCGAACUGCUUUGCUUUAUCUUGGCCAGGUCGCAAUUGUAAAUGAGAACUUGUUCUCAACUUGCCUACCUGGUUAAAUAAAGGACAAAUAAAAUGUAAGAAAAAUGUUAAGUUAGUUGUGUCAAACGAUGUGUAAUAUGUUUAAUAUUAAAUUAAGGAUUUGUUUUAUCUGUUUUCUUGGUUAAUAAAUAAAGUAGAGCUUGGCUUGAGAGCUUAAAACUAUCAUGUGUCAAAUGGCU
rnacentral:lncRNA from 1 species